UAGGGAAUCUUCGGCAAUGGGGGCAACCCUGACCGAGCAACGCCGCGUGAGUGAAGAAGGUUUUCGGAUCGUAAAGCUCUGUUGUAAGAGAAGAACGUGUGUGAGAGUGGAAAGUUCACACAGUGACGGUAACUUACCAGAAAGGGACGGCUAACUACGUGCCAGCAGCCGCGGUAAUACGUAGGUCCCGAGCGUUGUCCGGAUUUAUUGGUCGUAAAGCGAGCGCAGGCGGUUUAAUAAGUCUGAAGUUAAAGGCAGUGGCUUAACCAUUGUUCGCUUUGGAAACUGUUAAACUUGAGUGCAGAAGGGGAGAGUGGAAUUCCAUGUGUAGCGGUGAAAUGCGUAGAUAUAUGGAGGAACACCGGUGGCGAAAGCGGCUCUCUGGUCUGUAACUGACGCUGAGGCUCGAAAGCGUGGGGAGCAAACAGG
rnacentral:rRNA from 1 species